GGUUGGGCAAAAUGGCCUCCAGAGGUUUUUACCAAACUCAACCACUUUGUGAUUCCAUGAUUAUUGAAAGAAAAUUCACAUUUUCCAAGAUUCAUUUUUCUGUGAGUGACUACUAAGGAAGUAGUCUCAUUAAAAUAGCACUUUUUUUUUUUUUUUUUUUUUUUUUCCCCCCAGGUUUAUUUCAUUACGUUUAUGGAGUUGUAGGGUUUUUGUUUGUUUGUUUGUUUGAGAAUCUAUCAGACAUUCAAAGAUAUCUAAUCUGUUUUAAGCCUAUGAAGAGCAUUCAGGAAGCUGGCUCGUUACCCAAAGCAUGGAUGCAGUACCCAGGCCUAAGCUGCUCAGAGAGAAGCUGUGAGUUCUGCUGCAGUGAGAGAAGACAACUCUCAGUGAUGCCAGUGGGGUUUCUCUGAUUAAGACCUUCGGUAAUCAACCUAUUUUGUGGACAAAAAAGAAUUUUCUAGCCUGGACUGAUUUCUCAGCCAUCCUUUUCUGCACCAGACCAUAAUAAGGUAAUUCACAUGUUACUUUUCUACCACUGAUACCUCCUCUGUCUCCUGUUCCUUUUCUAGUAGUUUUAGAAUAUGGAGUUUUGAACCCCACAAAGACAAAAUCUACAGCAUUUAAUUUACUUCACUGUUCUCACAUAGCCAUUUAUCCUUUUCAAGCAAGUCUGCUCUGACAGAAAAUUACCAAAUUAUCACCCUUUGUCACAGGCAGCCAUAAAAUCUAUCCCAGUAGUAGUGAGAAAAAGGAUUCAGAGUGCAUGCUUUCUCAUGAAGGGAAGGGAAGAGAAAGGGAAA
rnacentral:lncRNA from 1 species